rfam:Ixodes scapularis strain Wikel colony gcontig_1107728588514, whole genome shotgun sequence.
CCCUGGUUAGCUCAGUUGGUAGAGCGCUCCACCUGUAAUGGAGAGGUCCCGGGUUCGAUACCCGGACCAGGCA